rnacentral:rRNA from 1 species
AGUGAACGCUGGCGGUAGGCCUAACACAUGCAAGUCGAACGGCAGCACAGUAAGAGCUUGCUCUUACGGGUGGCGAGUGGCGGACGGGUGAGGAAUACAUCGGAAUCUACUUUUUCGUGGGGGAUAACGUAGGGAAACUUACGCUAAUACCGCAUACGACCUACGGGUGAAAGCAGGGGAUCUUCGGACCUUGCGCGAUUGAAUGAGCCGAUGUCGGAUUAGCUAGUUGGCGGGGUAAAGGCCCACCAAGGCGACGAUCCGUAGCUGGUCUGAGAGGUUGAUCAGCCACACUGGAACUGAGACACGGUCCAGACUCCUACGGGAGGCAGCAGUGGGGAAUAUUAGACAAUGGGCGCAAGCCUGAUCCAGCCAUACCGCGUGGGUGAAGAAGGCCUUCGGGUUGUAAAGCCCUUUUGUUGGGAAAGAAAAGCAGCAGGUUAAUACCCCGCUGUUCUGACGGUACCCAAAGAAUAAGCACCGGCUAACUUCGUG